AUUGAACGCUGGCGGCAUGCUUUACACAUGCAAGUCGAACGGUAACAGGGUGCUUGCACCGCUGACGAGUGGCGAACGGGUGAGUAAUGCGUCGGAACGUGCCGAGUAGUGGGGGAUAACGCAGCGAAAGUUGUGCUAAUACCGCAUACGUACUGAGGUAGAAAGUGGGGGACCUUCGGGCCUCACGCUAUUCGAGCGGCCGACGUCUGAUUAGCUAGUAGGUGAGGUAAAGGCUCACCUAGGCGACGAUCAGUAGCGGGUCUGAGAGGAUGAUCCGCCACACUGGGACUGAGACACGGCCCAGACUCCUACGGGAGGCAGCAGUGGGGAAUUUUGGACAAUGGGCGAAAGCCUGAUCCAGCCAUGCCGCGUGUCUGAAGAAGGCCUUCGGGUUGUAAAGGACUUUUGUCGGGGAGGAAAUCCCCAGCGUUGAUACCGCUGGGGGAUGACAGUACCUGAAGAAUAAGCACCGGCUAACUACGUGCCAGCCGCCGCUGUAAGAC
rnacentral:rRNA from 1 species